rnacentral:rRNA from 1 species
GACGAACGCUGGCGGCGUGCUUAACACAUGCAAGUCGAACGGAAAGGCCCUGCUUGCAGGGUACUCGAGUGGCGAACGGGUGAGUAACACGUGGGUGAUCUGCCCUGCACUUCGGGAUAAGCCUGGGAAACUGGGUCUAAUACCGGAUAGGAGCCAUUUUUAGUGUGAUGGUUGGAAAGUUUUUUCGGUGUAGGAUGAGCUCGCGGCCUAUCAGCUUGUUGGUGGGGUAAUGGCCUACCAAGGCGGCGACGGGUAGCCGGCCUGAGAGGGUGGACGGCCACAUUGGGACUGAGAUACGGCCCAGACUCCUACGGGAGGCAGCAGUGGGGAAUAUUGCACAAUGGGCGCAAGCCUGAUGCAGCGAUGCCGCGUGGGGGAUGACGGCCUUCGGGUUGUAAACUCCUUUCGCUAGGGACGAAGCUUUUUGUGACGGUACCUAGAGAAGAAGCACCGGCUAACUACGUG